rnacentral:rRNA from 1 species
AUUGAACGCUGGCGGCAGGCCUAACACAUGCAAGUCGAGCGGAUGAAGGGAGCUUGCUCCUGGAUUCAGCGGCGGACGGGUGAGUAAUGCCUAGGAAUCUGCCUGGUAGUGGGGGAUAACGUCCGGAAACGAGCGCUAAUACCGCAUACGUCCUGAGGGAGAAAGUGGGGGAUCUUCGGACCUCACGCUAUCAGAUGAGCCUAGGUCGGAUUAGCUAGUUGGUGGGGUAAAGGCCUACCAAGGCGACGAUCCGUAACUGGUCUGAGAGGAUGAUCAGUCACACUGGAACUGAGACACGGUCCAGACUCCUACGGGAGGCAGCAGUGGGGAAUAUUGGACAAUGGGCGAAAGCCUGAUCCAGCCAUGCCGCGUGUGUGAAGAAGGUCUUCGGAUUGUAAAGCACUUUAAGUGGGGAGGAAGGGCAGUAAGUUAAUACCUUGCUGUUUUGACGUUACCAACAGAAUAAGCACCGGCUAACUUCGUG